GGAUCCUUAGCUCCUGGAAGCAAUAGAAGUGGAACAUAUCAAAGGAAAACUGUUACAUUUUACAAGGUGUUUCCUCCCCGUCUUCAGCCAAAUCCAGAUCUUUGAUUAAUGCACAGCUCCCAUCAAGACAUCAAGGAAUGGCAACCACCAUGUUUUUCUUCUAGUUUUUUGCAAGCACAAGGUUAUACACUGGAAGACUACUUUUGAGGAGGAGGUCAAAUCUGAAAAGGAAGAACAUCACCAAAGUGUAUUGUAGUCAGAAGGUGAUUGAUAGA
rnacentral:lncRNA from 1 species